rnacentral:rRNA from 1 species
UAGAGUUUGAUCCUGGCUCAGGAUGAACGCUAGCUACGGGCUUAACACAUGCAAGUCGAGGGGAAACGGCAUUGAGUGCUUGCACUCUUUGGACGUCGACCGGCGCACGGGUGAGUAACGCGUAUCCAACCUUCCCAUUACUGUGGGAUAACCUGCCGAAAGGCCGACUAAUACCGCAUAGUCUUCGAUGACGGCAUCAGAUUUGAAGUAAAGAUUUAUCGGUAAUGGAUGGGGAUGCGUCUGAUUAGCUUGUUGGCGGGGUAACGGCCCACCAAGGCGACGAUCAGUAGGGGUUCUGAGAGGAAGGUCCCCCACAUUGGAACUGAGACACGGUCCAAACUCCUACGGGAGGCAGCAGUGAGGAAUAUUGGUCAAUGGACGGAAGUCUGAACCAGCCAAGUAGCGUGCAGGAUGACGGCCCUAUGGGUUGUAAACUGCUUUUGUAUGGGGAUAAAGUCAAUCACGUGUGAUUGUUUGCAGGUACCAUACGAAUAAGGACCGGCUAAUUCCGUGCCAGCAGCCGCGGUAAUACGGAAGGUCCAGGCGUUAUCCGGAUUUAUUGGGUUUAAAGGGAGCGUAGGCUGGAUAUUAAGUGUGUUGUGAAAUGUAGACGCUCAACGUCUGACUUGCAGCGCAUACUGGUUUCCUUGAGUACGCACAACGUUGGCGGAAUUCGUCGUGUAGCGGUGAAAUGCUUAGAUAUGACGAAGAACUCCGAUUGCGAAGGCAGCCGACGGGAGCGCAACUGACGCUUAAGCUCGAAGGUGCGGGUAUCAAACAGGAUUAGAUACCCUGGUAGUCCGCACAG